CUACGUGCCAGCAGCCGCGGUAAUACGGAAGGUCCAGGCGUUAUCCGGAUUUAUUGGGUUUAAAGGGAGCGUAGGCCGCGGAUUAAGCGUGUUGUGAAAUGUAGACGCUCAACGUCUGAAUUGCAGCGCGAACUGGUUCACUUGAGUAUGCACAACGUAGGCGGAAUUCGUCGUGUAGCGGUGAAAUGCUUAGAUAUGACGAAGAACUCCGAUUGCGAAGGCAGCUUACGGGAGCACAACUGACGCUGAAGCUCGAAGGUGCGGGUAUCAAACAGGAUUAGAUACCCUGGUAGUCCGCACAGUAAACGAUGGAUGCCCGUUGUUAGUUCACUUAAGAAUUAGCGACCAAGCGAAAGCAUUAAGCAUCCCACCUGGGGAGUACGCCGGCAACGGUGAAACUCAAAGGAAUUGACGGGGGCCCGCACAAGCGGAGGAACAUGUGGUUUAAUUCGAUGAUACGCGAGGAACCUUACCCGGGCUUGAA
rnacentral:rRNA from 1 species